AACAACAGUUGAAAGUUUCCUACACUAAGGUUAGUAGAUGGGUAGGUCAAGCGGAAUGGGUCAAAGUGGGUGUGGAUUAGAAUUCAUCAGAUAAAAGAUGGUUGUUGGGGUGCCUUUUUUACAUAUGAAACUCCACAUGCAUAUGUUGGAUGGCUUUGGAUUAAUGCAUAGAUAAAGUAGAAUAUAUGAAGUCAAUUUACAAGCUGAACAUGAGACUCCAACUAUGAUAUUACUCGAUAUAGUACGCCAAAUGUUUCAUUUUUCUAACAAUUGGGAUCACUGACGGGCUCCCAAAACAGGCUAACUUUGAGGUAUCCACUUUGCUUGG